rnacentral:rRNA from 1 species
GGGCCCGCACAAGCGGUGGAGCAUGUGGUUUAAUUCGAUGCAACGCGAAGAACCUUACCAAGGCUUGACAUCCUGCGAAUCUCUUGGAAACGAGAGAGUGCCUUCGGGAGCGCAGUGACAGGUGCUGCAUGGCUGUCGUCAGCUCGUGUCGUGAGAUGUUCGGUUAAGUCCGGCAACGAGCGCAACCCACAUCCCUAGUUGCCAGCAGUUCGGCUGGGCACUCUAUGGAAACUGCCCGUGAUAAGCGGGAGGAAGGUGUGGAUGACGUCAAGUCCUCAUGGCCCUUACGGGUUGGGCUACACACGUGCUACAAUGGUAGUGACAAUGGGU